rnacentral:lncRNA from 1 species
AGAGGUAGUAAAGUUUGAACCACAAGUUCAAAACAAUGAUAUGAAUGCAUCCUUAUAUCAUUAUGAAAUGCUUCAUGCACUUCAAUCAGAUUCCUACCAUUCUAAUGUGUGUAAAAUAAUAGAACAAGAUAAGAGUAUAGCUUUAUCAUAUGUAGAUAACUUGUUUCAUAUAAUGCAUCAAAACUUUAUUGUUCAAAAUAAAGAUCCAACCUAAAACCUAUAGAAUU